ACCCUUUAACGUUUGAUGUUCUAACCCGGGUCCAUAAUCUGGAUCGGGGACCGUGUCUGGUGGGUAGUUUGACUGGGGCGGUCUCCUCCCAAAGAGUAACGGAGGAGCACGAAGGUUGGCUAAGCAUGGUCGGACAUCAUGCGGUUAGUGCAAAGGCAUAAGCCAGCUUGACUGCGAGAGUGACGGCUCGAGCAGGUACGAAAGUAGGUCUUAGUGAUCCGGUGGUUCUGAAUGGAAGGGCCAUCGCUCAACGGAUAAAAGGUACUCCGGGGAUAACAGGCUGAUACCGCCCAAGAGUUCAUAUCGACGGCGGUGUUUGGCACCUCGAUGUCGGCUCAUCACAUCCUGGGGCUGAAGUAGGUCCCAAGGGUAUGGCUGUUCGCCAUUUAAAGUGGUACGCGAGCUGGGUUUAGAACGUCGUGAGACAGUUCGGUCCCUAUCUGCCGUGGGCGCUGGAAGAUUGAGAGGGGUUGCUCCUAGUACGAGAGGACCGGAGUGAACGCACCACUGGUGUACGGGUUGUGAUGCCAAUUGCAUUGCCCGGUAGCUAAGUGCGGAAGAGAUAACCGCUGAAAGCAUCUAAGCGGGAAACUUGCCUC
rnacentral:rRNA from 1 species